rnacentral:miRNA from 1 species
UGAGGCAGGAGAAUUGCUUGAACCCAGGAGGUGGAGGUUGCAGUGAGCCGAGAUCGAGCCACUGUACUCCAGCCUGGGUGACAGAGCGAGACUC